rnacentral:rRNA from 1 species
AUUGAACGCUGGCGGCAUGCUUUACACAUGCAAGUCGAACGGCAGCGCGGGCUUCGGCCUGGCGGCGAGUGGCGAACGGGUGAGUAAUACAUCGGAACGUGCCCAGUAGUGGGGGAUAGCUCGGCGAAAGCCGGAUUAAUACCGCAUACGACCUGAGGGUGAAAGCGGGUGAUCUUCGGACCUCGCGCUAUUGGAGCUUCCGAUGGCAGAUUAGCUAGUUGGUGGGGUAAAGGCCUACCAAGGCGACGAUCUGUAGCUGGUCUGAGAGGAAGACCAGCCACACUGGGACUGAGACACGGCCCAGACUCCUACGGGAGGCAGCAGUGGGGAAUUUUGGACAAUGGGCGAAAGCCUGAUCCAGCAAUGCCGCGUGUGUGAUGAAGGCGUUCGGGUUGUAAAGCACUUUUGGCGGGAACGAAAAGGACUGUGCCAAUACCACGGUUCGAUGACGGUACCCGCAGAAUAAGCACCGGCUAACUACGUG